rnacentral:rRNA from 1 species
AGAGUUUGAUCAUGGCUCAGAUUGAACGCUGGCGGCAUGCUUUACACAUGCAAGUCGAACGGGCCGGGGGCAACUCCGGUCAGUGGCGAACGGGUGAGUAAUGCAUCGGAACGUACCCCGUAGUGGGGGAUAACGCCGCGAAAGCGGCGCUAAUACCGCAUAUGCUCUACGGAGGAAAGUGGGGGACCGCAAGGCCUCACGCUAUGGGAGCGGCCGAUGUCCGAUUAGCUUGUUGGUGGGGUAAUGGCCUACCAAGGCGACGAUCGGUAGCUGGUCUGAGAGGAUGAUCAGCCACACUGGGACUGAGACACGGCCCAGACUCCUACGGGAGGCAGCAGUGGGGAAUUUUGGACAAUGGGCGCAAGCCUGAUCCAGCCAUGCCGCGUGCGGGAAGAAGGCCUUCGGGUUGUAAACCGCUUUUAGUCGGAAAGAAAAGGCGGAGGCUAAUACCCUCCGUUCUUGACGGUACCGGCGGAAUAAGCACCGGCUAACUACGUGCCAGCAGCCGCGGUAAUACGUAGGGUGCGAGCGUUAAUCGGAAUUACUGGGCGUAAAGCGUGCGCAGGCGGUUCGUUGUGUCUGAUGUGAAAGCCCCGGGCUCAACCUGGGAAUGGCAUUGGAAACUGGCGGACUGGAGUGUGGCAGAGGGGGGUGGAAUUCCGCGUGUAGCAGUGAAAUGCGUAGAGAUGCGGAGGAACACCGAUGGCGAAGGC